UAACGCAUGUGUGGAAGUGUAUAAUCGGGCAUAUAGUAAGAUGUUCCUGUAUGCCCUAUUAAUACAUUCCAUAAGGCGCCA